UACGAAGGGGGCUAGCGUUGCCCGGAUUUAUUGGGCGUAAAGGGCGCGUAGGCGGCUCGGCACGUCCGUUGUGAAAUCGCCCGGCUCAACUGGGCGGGGUCAGCGGAUACGGUCGAGCUUGAGCAAGCUAGGGGGCAAUGGAAUUCCCGGUGUAGUGGUGGAAUGCGUAGAUAUCGGGAGGAACACCAGUGGCGAAGGCGGUUGCCUGGAGCUUUGCUGACGCUGAGGCGCGAAAGCGUGGGGAGCGAUCCGG
rnacentral:rRNA from 1 species